rnacentral:rRNA from 1 species
GACCUGCCGGAGGCCUAUACUGCAAGUCGAGCGGCAGCGAGGAGCUUGGUCCUUGGUGGCGAGCGGACGAUGGGAGAGCAAUGCCUAAAAAUCCCCCUGGCAGGGGGAUAUAACGCUCGGAACCGGAUUCUUACACCGCAUACUUCCUACGGGAGAUAGCGGGAUACCCUCGGGCCUUGCGCUUUCAGAUGAGCCUGCGUGAGAUUAGCUAGUUGGUGAGGUAACGGCUCACCAAGGCUACGAUCCGUAACUGGUCUGAGAGGAUGACCCCCCCUCUGGAACUGACACACGGCCCACACUCCUACGGGAGGCAGCAGUGGGGAAUAUUGGACAAGGGGCGAAAGCCUGAUCCACCCAUGCCGCGUGUGUGAAGAAGGUCUUCGGAUUGUAAAAACUGCUUUUUUGGGAGGAAGGGCCUUCUACUUGUCGGAAUUGUUUUGACGUUACCGACAGAAUAAGCCCUAACUCCCUGUGUGCCCCGCGCGAAUACAUACAAAGGGUGCGUUAUCCGGAUUUAAGACUGGGCGGGAGCGCGCCGGGUGGUAAGUUAAGUGGUGUAAAUCCCCGGGCUCUCCUGGGAACUGGAUCUGACUGCUUGCUAAACUUGAUAGAGGGUGGUGGAAUUUCCUGUGGUGAAAUGAAAUGAAAAAA